GGCUUUGAUGGCAAGACAUACCGAUGAGUUCAUAAUAUAAUCGGAUGGACACACACUGAAUUUGCUCACUACUUCCUCCAAGCAUAGAGAACGUCUAUCUCAGAAAGCUGGCUUUAGCUGUUUCUACCCAGUUUCACAGCCACUGGGAGGGCCAGGGAGAGGGGGAUGCACAGGGAGCUUGAGCAAGCGAUGAAGGAAGUUGUGGCAGCCAAGACUGGCCUCUGUGGCAUCAGCAGUCACCUGGAAUGUAAACUUGACAACACUCUAGACGUGAACCAAAGAGGGACACGGGCAGACAGAGAAGGACGCAGAAAGGUUACUGCCUGUGCUCCCUUUCUGGAACAAACAAAUAGCAUUUGAGUUGCUUUGACAUGUUGGAGAAACUCCAGCAAAGCAGAAGAAUUCAAGAGAGAGGAAAACCGAGGGUGUGAGAAGCUGAAACUGACUAAGAACUUCAGGUACAGAAAUUUCGAGUAACAGCUGGGUCACAAGACAACGAACAUUGAAAUCCUCCAAGAGCUGAUUAGAAACUUGCAAAAAAUAAAAAGACACACUGUUCAAGAAAGCCACUAUCUGAAAUAAAGCAGGCUGUUAACUCCAAAAUGAACUUGAGACCUGACAAAGCGGAAGGAGCAGCGUUUUUCAUGCGGACAAGGCCAGGCCGCCUUUGGUCAGCGGCACUUGUGCUAACUCCUGACUCUCACUACAAGGAAUUGACUCAUCAGAGGAUGAUUCUGCUCCUGGAGCAAGGAGACUUAAGAAUGGGACUGUGA